ACUAUUAAUAUUAUUUGCUAAAACCAUUCAGCAUGUUAUAUUUAAAUAUUUACAAUUAAAUAUAAUGUGUUAAGGGUGCUGUGUAUUAUUCAAUAAAUAUUUUGGUGUUGAAAUGACUGCCUUAUCAGUAUUUCUCAAAUUAUGCAAUUUUUGGCUUAGACACAGCAUGGAAUCAGAUAAGAGAAUAGCCAGUCCCUAUCAGUCCUCCAUCUAAGCCUAACUAAGGGGUGUUGAUAUACUUUUGAUUUGUUCAGGCCCCAUCUAUUUGAGAACCACAGACAGGAAGUUAUUUUUUGAAAACAAGCAGCAUCAGCAACUGACUUUAAGCUAGAAUUAAGACUUAUUAUUCUAGUGUAAAAUGUCUUGAAAUACUUUCAGCAUGAAGUAUUGUGUGAUGAAAAAAAUGUGUAUUUACUACAAUGUGUAAAUCAACAAUAAGUUUGUUGCAAAGGAGAUUAAAAGAGGGUGGUUAAAGACAUAUAAAGUGAUAUGGUCUAGUUCAACAACUACCUGUAUUUUUGGAAUACUGAAGAACAGUUUGUUGUAACAGGUUAAACCCCAUGGUGACCGUGAAAUUUACAUUGAUCAGAAGAUCCUUUGGAAAGAAUGUGCAUCAUCGCAUUGCCUGCCAAAAAAGGGAGCAAAAGAGAGACUACCUGAUGUGUGGACUUGAAUACCAGGUUUUACCCUGCACAUUAGCUGGCCGACAUGAGGAGAACAGGAGUGGGAAAACCGCGCCCUCUCCUUGACCAAGAAAAGCUGGAUUUGUUUAGAGGACCUGAUCAAAUGAGAUCAUGCACGAGACGCAUCGCGCAAAGGCCAUGACAGUAUAAUAGUUGCAAAGAAGUUUGACCGGCUGGUGGCAGACUUGGAGAGACAGAUGAGAGCUGCACUCCGCCGCCUCAAAGAAAU